GAGGCCAGGAAGGCUGCCGGGGAGGUGGAAGACGAGGGUACCGAAGAGCUGGGGGCCGACGCGGAGACCCAACCCAGCAGCACUAGCGCCAGCCUUGCCAACCUCAGCCGUCCGUCCCCGGCGGAGGGGCCCCGGGAGCCCGCCCCAGGCAUCGCGGCUCGCGGUUCCCCGGAGCUGGGACAGCGCCCGCUCCGAAGACUCGACCGCCUGGGCCCGGCGGGCGCGAGCCGGCCGCAAGCGUCGACGGCAAACUUUCCUCGCGUGGGAGCAGAGGAGGGGACGCCAAAAGCUGGAACUUGGCUAACCCCGAGCCACCGGGCGUCCCCCUCCCGGAGCGGCACCCCGCCCUUCCCUCCAGUGAGUACGCACGGCGGGUCGGGACACGGGCCUUGGCGCUCCUCCUCCCGCCGCAGCUGGGGUGGGUGGCACCUCCUCAACUCCUUUGUUGGCGCCUCUCUCAGGGCAGGAUCGGAUGAGCGACCUGGGACAAGCGGGAGAGAAGCGUGAGGAGGAGUGACGGCCUCAGCUCUCAGAGUACGAACCAAGUUGUCCCCACACUAGCAACCCGGCCCAAGCUUCUGUGUGCGUCCUUCCUCCCUAGUGGGACGCGGUCCCCACUCCCAGGCGCUAAGCCUACCUCUUCCGGGCCCACACCAUCAGGACCCGGGCCACCUCCCGCCUGGCUCCUGCCCGGAUUGCCCUCCUCCCGCCUAGAACUUCACGCAGACCCCGCGGUGUCCAGCGAGCAAACUUCUCCCUUUUCCGGAUCCCAGCUCCUACCGCCCCGGCCGACCACCUGCCUUCCGGGGUCCCCGCCCCCGCCGCUCCUCCCCCUCCCACCUUGGGAUGAGAGCGAAGUUUCGGGUUACGGGACUCUUAAGAGCUUUUUUUUUUUUUUUUUUUUUUUUUGGUACCUCCUUGGAUUAGUGUGAAAAGGGGAGCAGAGCCGUACAGCUGUCGCCUACUCUCGACUCCCCAGUUCCUGGCCACCCAGCUCCCCGAUCCCGAGAGGAUCCAGACAUCUCCAGAAAAACGGAGGGAACCCGCCAACAAAGCGGCCGUGGGACCGUGGGCGGUGUGGCAGCCAGGAUCCCCCCCCCCCCGGCUCUCUUCACGCCCUAGUAUAGAAAGGAACCCUGGUCCCGCCUCCAGGCUCCAAGCCUGGCCGCUCGGUCCCCACUGCUCACCUCCGCACCCCGCGCCUGCAAAGCCAACUCCGAGGGCCACCCGAGUCCACGCGCCUUCCCAGCUCCUGCUGCGGGCGCCGACUCUCCUCUCACCCCAGCCCCUGGCCCAACCUCCACGGCUGGGAAAAACCAAGCCGGGGGGCGGGGGAGGGCCAGGGCUGCAGGAGAGAUCGCCGCCGCGCUGGCCACCUCUGCUGCCCCAGGUGGAAGCAGAAGGAGCAGAAGUUCCAGCUCACCUUCGGCUACGAGAUGACUUUGAGAUGACCUGGAGAAAGACCCUGUCUUGAAACAAUCCCAGAAAGAAGAGCAGGCUGAGCCAUUGUCAAGCCAGCUCAUCAGACAGAUCACUGGAAGAAAAAAACCUGACAAGACGCCGCAAGAAAAGGAAACCACAGAGCGCGACCACGUAUGAUUGUAGAUGUAACAUCCUUCCGCUAAAUUAAACCUAAUCAAACCCAGAGACAAGCAAAAAUGACUGUAAUCCAUGACUACGCAGGAUUCACAUCUAGGAAUACAAGGAUGCUUAAAUGAAAAGAAAUUGACUGUGGCAAUACAAAUUACCAAUGGAAACAAAAGAAAACAAACAAACAGACAGAAACAAAAUAUGGCCAUACCAUCUGAUGUGGUAGAGUAUUUAGCAAUAUUCACCAUCCAGUCUGAUAAAAGAAAACACCCUGCCUAAUAUAAAUGAAAGAAGUCCCUAUUCUGGUUAAGAGUACCAGAAACCAAACUAAUACCACAAAGAGCACACCUACAAUGGCAUGUAAUGGCAGGAGAUAUGAUUUCCUGUUAUACUGAUGAUGCACAGGGGAGAAUAUGCUGCAGCCUUAAACAUUCAUAAAAUGAAGAGUUAUAUUUUUAAUUUCUUGUGAUUUUUUUUAUAUAAUAAAAAGUCACAUUGUCAGAGAAUAGAGUUGGUCUGUCUCCUCCUGCCUAGUCUGACUGCCUCAUGUUCUUGCCUGAUUGUCUUAUGUGGCAUGCCCAAUACAAUCUUGAAAAAAAGCUAGGUAAGAGCAGACAUCCUUGUUUUGGUAUUUACUAUCAUGUGAAACCAUUCUGUCUUUAAGCAUUAAAUGUUAUCUUAGCUGUGGAGUUUUACUUCUUGCUGCUAUUACUGUUUUUUUAUAUCUCAAUUUAAUAGAAUUUCAUUGACACACU
ensembl:processed_transcript 9330154J02Rik RIKEN cDNA 9330154J02 gene